AAGUCGUAACAAGGUUUCCGUAGGUGAACCUGCGGAAGGAUCAUUAACGAAUUGUAAUUGGAGUUGAUGCUGGCAGGCUUGGCUGCAUGUGCUCGCUCCUAACAAUCUUCAUCCAAACACCUGUGCACAUUUAGAGAGGGUCUCCGAGUCCUCCUUGGAGUCCCUUCCUCUCAUUACACACUUUAUUUCAAUGUUGAACGUGAUUGUGCCGUAAGGCCUUAAUAUUAAUACAACUUUUAACAACGGAUCUCUUGGCUCUCGCAUCGAUGAAGAACGCAGCGAAAUGCGAUAAGUAAUGUGAAUUGCAGAAUUCAGUGAAUCAUCAAAUUUUUGAACGCACCUUGCGCUCCCUGGUAUUCCGGGGAGCACGCCUGUUCGAGUGUCGUGAAAUUCUCAAACCGGGAUGCUUUUUUUGUUUCUCGGCUUGGUGUUGGGCUUUGCAGUUCCUUUGAUUGGGAUGGCUGGCCUUAAAAGCAUUAGCUGGCUUUUCAUGUGGCAUUGGUUCUACUCAGCGUGAUAAUGAUCUGACCGCCGAGGACAUCUUUCGAGGUGGCCAAUUCUCAUUUGGGCUGCUUCUAAUUUUGGUAGAGCAGAUUCUGAAUCUGUUCCACUUUUCAGCUUUUGACCUCGAAUCAGGUGGGACUACCC
rnacentral:rRNA from 1 species